rnacentral:rRNA from 1 species
UGUAUCACUGGUAAGGGCGUAUGGUGGAUGCCUUGGUAGACAGGACCGAUGAAGGACGUGACGGGCUGCGAUAUGCCUCGGGGAGCUGCCGAGUGGGCUUUGAUCCGAGGAUUUCCGAAUGGGGAGACCCGGCCACUGUUAUGGGUGGUCACCACAGUUUUUGUGGGGGGUACGCAGGGAAGUGAAACAUCUCAGUACCUGCAGGAAAGGAUACUCCGUGAGUAGUGGCGAGCGAAAGCGGAUCAGGCUAAACCGAGUACGUGUGAUAAUCGUCAGGUGUUGCGUAUUCGGGGUCGUGGGAUUGACUGUUCAGCCUCUGACGGGGUUGAGAAGAGUGAUAAAAUGUCGUGUUAUGUGAAUGGGAUUGAAUUCCCAGCCGUAGAGGGUGAUGGCCCCGUAGCAGGUUGCGCGAUGUCUUUUUAUGUUUAUUCCCAAGUAGCGCGGGCCUCGUGGAAUCCCGCGUGAAUCUGCCCAGACCGUUGGGUAAGCCUAAGUAUUCCUGUCUGACCGAUAGUGUACUAGUACCGUGAGGGAAAGGUGAAAAGCACCCCGGGAGGGGAGUGAAAUAGUUCCUGAAACCGUGCGCUUACAAUCCGUCGGAGCCUUCUUUGUGGGGUGACGGCGUGCCUAUCGAAAAAUGAGUCUGCGAGUCAGUGGUAUGUGGCGAGGCUAACCCGGGUGGGGGAGCCGUAGCGAAAGCGAGUUUUAAAAGGCGUUUUAGUCGCAUGUCCUGGACCCGAAGCGGGAUGAUCUAGCCCUGAGCAGGUUGAAGCGCGGGUAAGACCGUGUGGAGGACCGAACCCACCUAGGUUGAAAACUGGGGGGAUGACUUGGGGUUAGGGGUGAAAGGCCAAUCAAAUUCCGUGAUAGCUGGUUCUCUCCGAAAUGCAUUUAGGUGCAGCGUCAUGUUAUUGCUUGCAGGGGGUAGAGCUACUGGAUGCUUGCGGGCCCAUACCGGGUACUAAUAGCAGCCAAACUCCGAAUACCUGUUAGGUUUAUCAUGGCAGUGAGUCGGCGGGGGAUAAGCUCCGUCGUCAAAAGGGAAACAGCCCUGAUCGUCGUCUAAGGUCCCGAAGCGCGUGCUAAGUGGGAAAGGAUGUGGAGUCGCAUAGACAGCCAGGAGGUUGGCUCAGAAGCAGCCAUCCUUGAAAGAGUGCGUAACAGCUCACUGGUCUAGUGGUUCCGCGCCGACAAUGUAGCGGGGCUUAA